GACGGAACCGAGCGAACGUUUAUUCGGAAUCACUGGGCGUUAAAGGGCGCGUAGGCGGGCGGCCAAGUCAGGGGGUGAAACGGCCCCCCAGCCUCAAACCUGGGGGAAGUGCCUCGUGAUACUGGCCGUCUCGAGCGAGGUAGGGGCGUGCGGAACUUCCGGUGGAGCGGUGAAAUGCGUAGAUAUCGGAAGGAACACCGGUGGCGAAAGCG
rnacentral:rRNA from 1 species